UACGUAGGGUGCAAGCGUUGUCCGGAAUUAUUGGGCGUAAAGAGCUUGUAGGCGGUUUGUCGCGUCUGCUGUGAAAUUUCGGGGCUUAACCCCGAGCCUGCUUCUGGUACGGGCAGACUUGAGGUAUGCAGGGGGAGAACGGAAUUCCUGGUGUAGCGGUGAAAUGCGCAGAUAUCAGGAGGAACACCGGUGGCGAAGGCGGUUCUCUGGGCAUUACCUGACGCUGAGGAGCGAAAGUGUGGGGAGCGAACAGG
rnacentral:rRNA from 1 species